CAGUCGCCACGGUAAUACGGAGGGUGCAAGCGUUAAUCGGAAUUACUGGGCGUAAAGCGCACGCAGGCGGUCUGACAAGUCAGAUGUGAAAUCCCCGGGCUUAACCUGGGAACUGCAUUUGAAACUGUCAGGCUGGAGUCUUGUAGAGGGGGGUGGAAUUCCAGGUGUAGCGGUGAAAUGCGUAGAGAUCUGGAGGAAUACCGGUGGCGAAGGCGGCCCCCUGGACAAAGACUGACGCUCAGGUGCGAAAGCGUGGGGAGCAAACAGGAUUAGAGACCCGCGUAGUCCCUGUCUCUUAUAC
rnacentral:rRNA from 1 species